GGGUGGGUAGUAAAGCAAGCAACUUAGCAACUCCUUAUCAAUUCCUGAUUCCUUUGCUUUGGGGAUAAAGGAUUGCAGAAGGUAGAGUGAAGAGGAGAGAACAACUAUGAAUUCUAGACUAGAUGGACACUAGCAAAUGCUGAAUGGUAUAUAUAAUUCUUGAAAGAGCAAGCCUCACUCCCACAGCUUUGAAUCCAGUUGUGAUGCUGAGGUGGCACUGCUUUUUCUAAAGUCCAUUUUGGGGGGUUGGCUGCCAUCUCUAUUCCAUCAGUUUCUCUUGUAUCCUCCUUACCGUGUAAUAGACCAGAAGGUUGUCAUAUUCCCAACUUUAUGGUGGCAGCAGCAAAAGACACAGGAUGAUUGUUUGUUCCCCAAACUGGAACCCGUCCUUAAUGGAGAGCAAAGGGCUGUUUUCAUGGCCCUGUUCUUCCUGAAAGCUACCGCUGGUUUAGCAUUGCUGCUGGGGAAGAGAGAGAUACCAACAAUAGUCACUACAAUCAAGAUGUUUUCUUUCUUUGGCUUACCUCUAAUGCAUUAUGUAUCCUGGGAUGAUGGGAUGUUCUGUAAUUAAUUCUGUUAGAUGUAAUUGCUAUAAUCACUUUGAUGUUACACAUAAUAAAGGUAAUAUGGUAAGCACAUAAAAAA